UAACGAUCCCGGCUGCUCCCCCGGUCCCCUCCUGCCGUUCCGGUCGGAAAUCGGAGCGGGACACCACUCUGCGCCUCGAACUUGCUCAGAUCACCUCAACUUUAUAGUUUCCUGUCUCCUCCCGGUCGAGUCACAAACAAAUAUGUCACUGGAGGAAGUUACUGGGCAGAGAGAAGAAAGGACACAGCCUCGGAAUAAAGGGACCUCCCUCAAGAGCGGAGUUGAGGAGGAAUUUCUUCAGCCAGGGGAUGGGUUCUUGACCUGGAUUUACACGCUGACUUCGUUUCUUUGUGGUAAUGGGACCCACUCUCAGGGUCUCGCGACUGGCCGCUAUUCAAUAUACCAAGGACGCGGCCUAGAAGACUAGCGCGCCCUCAGUGUUCUGGGAUUUCGUGGCUCUGGAAGCGGGUGGACUCGAGGUCGGUGCCUCCGCAGGAAUCGGGUGUGUCAUGGGAGACGGAAGAUCGAAAGCAGCAAGCUGGCUGCUGGCUGUGUACCCAGAGGCCUGAGUUUUCUAGGCACAGAGCUCAGAAAAAGCACCGCAACAGACAUUUAACAUUGUAAACCAGCAAGUUGUUUGUCUCCCCUCUCACUGUGAAACGGAGACAUCUCUUGUCAAGGAGAGAGAGAGAGAGUCGAAUACCGGGUGAAUGAGUCGUCUUUGGGUGAGAAGUACAGAGUCCACAGAGGGGAGGGAGCUUUCCGUGAUAUGGUGAGCUGUGCCCACAGCUUUCUUGCAGUCACAUACCGAGUCCAUUGGGCAGGACGUUUUCCGUGGUGCAUCGACAAAAACAGGAAGUGGAUGCAGCCAAAAACUACGAACGUUUAAUGCCCUUCCCAUAUUGUCUUUAAACCGAAGGUUAAAGCUGACCUGGAGCCACGUUGGAGUGCAGCAGGGCUGCGGAGGCCCCCGUCCUGACCUCAUCACAGCCUGGGUCCAAACGUGGAAAGAGGAACCGAGAGAGGGGCGGGUGAGGCACCAUUUCUCUGAAUGUGCCACCGAGGGGGAGAAGCCUGCAGUGGACGGAGUCAUACUUGCGCAGAGAAGGAAGGAGGGUGGAGCUGCCCAGCCCCACUGAAGCAGUUCCAUUCAGCAGUGUCACAAGCCCAAAGCCCAGCCUUCUCCGGACUUUCCUUCCACUGCUGGAUCAGAACCGGGGACAUCCUCGACAAUCACACAUUGUCCAGUUCCAUUACAAACGUCUCAGCAAAUGAACCAGCCCACCGUGAGACCGAGACAACGUCCAGUGCAAAGAACUGCAAUGGUCUGUCGUAAUGAUCAUCUCCGACUAGACAGUCUGAUCACCUGCCACUGACAACCAUCGGCAAGUCCCUUACCAUCUGCAAACGGUUCACUGGGAACUCAGUCACCUCAACGCUGUGGCUACAAGAGGAGGCCUCCAGCUCACCUGCAAGACAUGUCAGACUGUGGAGCAACGCUGCCCCUACCUGGCUGCGUGCAGCUUCAAUCCCAUCCAGCCCACUUGACUUGCAUUCAUUCAAGUCCUGGGACAUUCAUCGCCUCCACCACCGAUUCACAGUCGAUGCUGCGAGUCCCAGCUGCAAACCGCACUGCCAUUUCUCACCCUCGCUACCCGUCAGCUCCUGCCCAGCAGGCAGCCUGUCACCAAGGGCCAGGGUGACAGAUGCACGGGAACACCACCACCUGCGGCUUGCCCGCUAGGUCACACAUUAGCGGGGCCUGCAAAUACACUGUCAGACCUUCGCUGUCUCCGGGUUUAACAGCACGGGUGGGAGCAGCUUGCCCAGUGGUUCAAGAAGGCAGCUCAUUCGCUCCUUCUCAAGGGCAAUUAGGGGUGUGGCCCCAGCAUUCCCAGGUAGACCGAUUCGGUGUGGGAAUGGCAGAGCCUCUGCUGAAAGCGUGAACAGCCGGUCCCAAGAGGUGGGUGAGGAUGAGUUCAUUAGGGUCAAGGUGUUAAAUGGAUGUAGGACACAGAGACGCCAAGGUACAGUGACGACACAGUAUGAACCAGCUCACUAAUCUGGCUAAUCCAUGAACCCUGUGACCACCAGUUCUCACUGCUACCAUCAGAGAGGAGGUACAGAAGCCCAAAGGUACAUAACUCCAUGAAUCAGGAACAUCAUCUUCCCCUCUGCCUAACGAUUGCUGAAUGGACAUCGAACCCAAGAACACCACCCCACUACCUUUUUAAUUUCUAUGUUUGCACUACUUAUUUAAUUCAACUAUUUAGUAUAUUUUCUUACUAUAUUCACAGUUUUCUAUUAUUAUGUAUCGCAUUGUCCUGCUGCCACAAAGACAGCAAGUUUCACAACAGAUGCCGGUGACAUUAAUCCCGAUUCUGUCCGCCUGUCACAAAGCAAACCAAGAUGUUUAAACACUUGGCUUUCCUCAGUAAAUUUCCUGCCAGCUGCCUACCUUGUAUCCUCCAAUGGGCUGCCGAGAGAGUAUCAGACAAUCAGAGGUGUGGAGAGAUCCACCAGGUGGAAGUAACUGGUUCCCCGAAGAGCAGCAGGCGUUCUCCCAGUGUCCUGGCAACGUCCGUCCUUCCGGCAACAGCCGCACACUUUUGGUCGCCGUCCGAUCGCCGCUUGCGGUGGCUUGGUGGGCUGCAAAGCUCCUAGUGGGGUAACUGGAGCUACGUGUCAGAUGUUUGUGGGAUGUGCAUCGCGACUCAUCCAGUCCGCUGCCCGAGCUUCUGCAGCUCUCAGCCAGAUAGUCCGACCGGACUCCUCUGUCUCUGUAACCCUGCAAGUUCCCUUCUCUCAUUUGCCUCUCCCAGCUUCCCCCUGGAAUCAGGUCGUGGCCCCUGCACCAACCUCAGAGGCAGAAUGUUUCAGGUCAUUAUCCCCUGUACAGCUCUUACCCAGAACUCUGAGCUGCCUCCUGCAUCCUUAUGCCACCAGCUAACAGAAUAGAUUUUCUUUGUCUUACAAAUACGCCUCUCAAUGAAGCCCACCUUCUCCAGUCUAUUGGGGUUGUUCGGAAGGGUCUUCACAUCCUUACUGGAGAAGCGACCACAAUUAUGUGCAAAGCCUUCCCUGCACUUGUACUCAACGCUUUUAAUUUUGAAGCCGGAUGCCACCCUCUCAAUAGGUUCUGUCUCCUGCAGAGAUCUCAGUUCUUGUACAGGUUAGAAUGAUGCCAUAAAGUCCAUGUUGCCUCUCCACGUCCCCUCUUGCCAAAGCACAUUACCUCACUUCAUAUCAAAUCCCAUCCACCAUGCUGACCUUUUCUGCCAGCCUGUUAGUAAUCAGUCAGUAACAUCCUCCCCACCAUUCAGUACUGUGCAAAAGUCCUGGCCAUGUCUAAAAACACCUUGUAAAGUGGGUAUGCUUUCAAAAAUAAUGAUUUGAGAAGUUUCUAUCAAAAAAAUACUAUAAAGAGCAGCUAACAGUAAAAAUAAAUGAUUAAAUCAAUAUUUGGCAUAACUGUCAAGCUGCUGGUAGGUUGGUCCAAGCGUCUUGAAGAACUUGUCACAGUUCUUCUGCAGACUUUGGCCGUCUUGCUUGUUUCUGCCUCUCCAGGUAAUCCCAGGCAGCCCAGAAUGAUAUUGAGACCAGGGCUCUGUGGAAGCCAUACUACCUGAAACCAUAUAAAAAAUCUAGGGUGCUUAGGGUUUUGUUUUUGCACAAUACUGAAUCUCCAAGGCUGGUGUCAUCGGUUACUUGUGAGAUCUUCGUUUGUACUCCAGCAUCUGUCACUAUGUCAGUGGUCUCAGCACAGUCGUUUUGGGAACAUCCUCUGUACAUCAUUCUCCAGUCUGGACACCAUCAAUUAUCACACUGACUGCUUUCUGCCCAGUAUUUUCUCCACUUAUCCGCAGUCACAUUUUGCUAACCAGGCUUCAUGUGACAAACACUUCAUUAAAAUCCAUGUCGACAUGUUCAUUCUGCUGACUUUAUCAACAUUCUGUUUUUCUUUAAUUAACACUUACCGCUACGAUUACAAUUUCCCUAAUUAAUGUUUUUCAGAACCUUAUCCAUGACAAAUCCAAACCUGAAUUAUUUAAUGCUACUAGAAAACUUGUUCUUGAGCAAGAAUGCCUCACUUGGUAAUCUCCAAGCCUCUCUUGUAUUUUCUAAUGAUUAAAUGUCAUGACAAGCCCUUCCAUUACCUGCCCUGUUCACUUUAUCAACAAAGGAUACAAGUCUUCCAGAUAAGAUGGUUUCAUCACUCCAAGCUCAGCCUCUACCCUUUCCGAUAAACCCCUUAUUAAUGAGCCUCUGAGCAUAUAUAACUUUCUAAUGGGUCCUAACCCGCUCCAUUAUAAUAACUUGGGUGUCAGAGCAAAGUUUUUAUUUAAUUAUAUACUUUAUUUUACACAAAUUUUGCAUGGAACCAGAGGGAUGGCAGAUACAUUAAAGACAUUUAAGACACUCUUAGAUAGGCACAUGGCUGAUUGAAAAAACUGGAAGGCUAUGAAGGACAGAUGGGUUAGUUUGAUCUUAGAGUAGGUUACAAGGUCAGCCCAACAUUGUGGGCUGAAGGACGGAUACUGCACUGUAAUUAUCUGUAUUUUACUUACUACUUCUGGUUCUCUAUCGAGUAAGCUAUCAAUCUAAUCUUGUAGAAUCUCUUUUCCCUGCUAAACAUUGUGUAUCCUGAUUAGCAACAGAAAAACUCACUGAUAUAUUAUCAUCGUGUUAUCUAACACUCUCACUAUCCCAAGGAGUCCUAGCUUUGGUUCCUCUGUCUUUCCCUUCUGUGGCAACCAAAAGCUGAAGCAUCUCCAAUUAUAACAUUACAUGUAAAUCUUUAGUGCCACUUAACUCUCUCUGGAUUCUCGUUCAUCCCACUGAAGUCAGCACUCUUCCAAUUUAAAAGUCUUACUUUAGGUUGGCCUUCUUUAUUACUAUCUGUGGCUCAUAGUAAUGAUCACUUUUACCCAAGUUUUCUCCACUGACUAUUGGUCCACUUGAACCACCUCACUCACCAGCACCAGAUAGAGCAACACUUACUUCCUGCUUGGGGAAUGUGUUUGUCAGUUUGUGGGUUCACUGAGUCAUACAACACAGAAACAAAACCCUUCAGCUUGUCACAUUCAUGCCAACUAUCAAGCACUCAUCCAUACUAAUCUCAUUUGCCAAUACUUGGCCUGCAGUUUUUAUACCCAUACCCUGCCAAUUUAAAUGUCCAUUUAGAUUCUUAAGCCUCUCCAUCUACCACCCACAGAGAGUGUUCCAAGUUCCUACCAUCCUUUGGAAGAAAAGGAUGGUAAACCACACCUUAAAUGUAUUCCCUCUGGAUUUAAAGACCUCUGAUGGAAGAAAGUUUCAUAUCAGAUCCCCUCUAAAUCUCCUCUUAAAUGUAUUCACUCUGGUCUUAACAGUCUCUUAUAGAGGAAUGUUUCUUACUAUGGACCCCCACUCUUUGCACAUCUCUGUCAGGUCCCUCAACAGCCUGUUCCGUCCCAUAGCAAACCCAUCUCCUCAGGUCUUUUCUCAUAACUGAAACAGUCAUCCUCCUCUACAAUCACUUCCUUCCUAUAGAGUGGUGACCACAAAGCUCCUGCUGUGGUCUAGCUAAUGUUUUGAAAGGUUUACAAUAAGCUUCCUGCUUUUAUAUUGUGUGACCUGGCUAAUGAAGCUAAUUACAGACAAAUACAUUAAAAUCCUUUAAGUUCAUGGAUGACAUGACUGUAGUUGGUCUCAUCUCCAAUAACAGUGUUACCUGCUAUCAAAGAGAUAUAAGUUGGCUUGUGGCAUGGUGUGCUCGUACCAUCUUGGAGCUUAAUGCUAUCAAGACAGUGGAAACAAGGGCUGGUUUCCAUCAACAAUGCCCCACCUGUUGAUCCUUGGAAAUGAAUAGUCAGGCCGUGUCUGUGGUGAAGUCAUUCAAAUUCUGGACGACUACCAUGAUCAAUACUUUAAAGUGGGACAAGUACGUUACGCCCCUCACUAGGAAAGCCCAGGAGAGAUUGCUCUUCCUACCCCAGAUUAGGAAACUUAACAUCUCAGGGUGUACCCCGAUGAACUUUUACUCAGCCGUCAUUGAGCCCAUCUCUACCACCCCUCUGAAGGGUCUCAGUUGGAAAAGUUGACUGUACUCUUUUCCAUAGAUGCAGCCUGCCCGGCCUGCUGAGCUCCUUAAGCAUUUUGUGUGUGUUGCUUGGAUUUCCUGCAAAUGCAGAUUUUCUCUUGUCUGAGUCUGUUCAUAUGUUCACAUUUAUUUAAGUUGAUUAUUGACAUCCGUGCAUGAGAUUGUUCUGCUGUUUGUCCAUUGCUUGUGGCUAUUUGCUCUACUGCCUUGUAAACCGUCUUUUGCUAUUUUUUUUAUUUUGGUAUUCCCCAUGAUUUCUGCUUGGCACAGAACCACAAUCAAUUCUGGAAUGCUUCACAUACUGACAAUAAAGUGAUACUGAAUUGUUUCAGCCUUCUUCAUCACCAGAGGAUGGAGAACAUUGAGCCAUGAAAGGCAGGAAAGGCCCUUCGGCCCACCACACCUGUGCCGACCAUGAUGCUAAUCUAAUUAAUCCCAUCUGCCUGCAGCAUACGCCAUAUCCUAGCAUUCCCUGCCUUCUUAAACAAAGGCCUUACUUAUUUAGUUUCAUCUUGAGAUACAGCAUUGUAUCAGGGCCUUCUCGCCCGACACCUAAUUAUGUAUGUGACUAAAUACCUACCAACUGGUACAUCUUUGGAACAUGGGAGGAAACCAGAGCACCUGGAGGAAACCCACGUGGUCAUGGAGAGAACGUACA